GACGAACGCUGGCGGCGUGCUUAACACAUGCAAGUCGAACGGAAAGGCCCUGCUUUUGUGGGGUGCUCGAGUGGCGAACGGGUGAGUAACACGUGAGUAACCUGCCCUUGACUUUGGGAUAACUUCAGGAAACUGGGGCUAAUACCGGAUAGGAGCUCCUGCUGCAUGGUGGGGGUUGGAAAGUUUCGGCGGUUGGGGAUGGACUCGCGGCUUAUCAGCUUGUUGGUGGGGUAGUGGCUUACCAAGGCUUUGACGGGUAGCCGGCCUGAGAGGGUGACCGGCCACAUUGGGACUGAGAUACGGCCCAGACUCCUACGGGAGGCAGCAGUGGGGAAUAUUGCACAAUGGGCGGAAGCCUGAUGCAGCAACGCCGCGUGCGGGAUGACGGCCUUCGGGUUGUAAACCGCUUUCGCCUGUGACGAAGCGUGAGUGACGGUAAUGGGUAAAGAAGCACCGGCUAACUACGUGCCAGCAGCCGCGGUGAUACGUAGGGUGCGAGCGUUGUCCGGAUUUAUUGGGCGUAAAGGGCUCGUAGGUGGUUGAUCGCGUCGGAAGUGUAAUCUUGGGGCUUAACCCUGAGCGUGCUUUCGAUACGGGUUGACUUGAGGAAGGUAGGGGAGAAUGGAAUUCCUGGUGGAGCGGUGGAAUGCGCAGAUAUCAGGAGGAACACCAGUGGCGAAGGCGGUUCUCUGGGCCUUUCCUGACGCUGAGGAGCGAAAGCGUGGGGAGCGAACAGGCUUAGAUACCCUGGUAGUCCACGCUGUAAACGGUGGGUACUAGGUGUGGGGUCCAUUCCACGGGUUCCGUGCCGUAGCUAACGCUUUAAGUACCCCGCCUGGGGAGUACGGCCGCAAGGCUAAAACUCAAAGGAAUUGACGGGGCCCCGCACAAGCGGCGGAGCAUGCGGAUUAAUUCGAUGCAACGCGUAGAACCUUACCUGGGUUUGACAUGGAUCGGGAGCGCUCAGAGAUGGGUGUGCCUCUUUUGGGGUCGGUUCACAGGUGGUGCAUGGCUGUCGUCAGCUCGUGUCGUGAGAUGUUGGGUUAAGUCCCGCAACGAGCGCAACCCUUGUUCACUGUUGCCAGCACGUUAUGGUGGGGACUCAGUGGAGACCGCCAGGGUCAACUCGGAGGAAGGUGGGGAUGACGUCAAGUCAUCAUGCCCCUUAUGUCCAGGGCUUCACGCAUGCUACAAUGGCUGGUACAGAGAGUGGCGAGCCUGUGAGGGUGAGCGAAUCUCGGAAAGCCGGUCUCAGUUCGGAUUGGGGUCUGCAACUCGACCUCAUGAAGUCGGAGUCGCUAGUAAUCGCAGAUCAGCAACGCUGCGGUGAAUACGUUCCCGGG
rnacentral:rRNA from 1 species